CCAGAUGGCUGGAUGGCCGCCCCUGAUCUGCUUGCAGAAAGGGGGAGGAAAGUCCGGGCUCCACGGAAACACGGUGCCAGAUAACGCCUGGCGGGGGCGACCCCAGGGAAAGUGCCACAGAAAGCAAACCACCGGAUCGCGCAAGCCAUCCGGAAAGGGUGAAAGGGUGCGGUAAGAGCGCACCGGUCCUUCGGUAACGCGGGACGCAUGGUAAACCCCACCGGGAGCAAAACCUAAUAGGAAUGGCCGGUCGGACGGUUCGCCGUUGACGACAGGUGCGUUUCCGCACUGUCAUUCGGGUUGGUUGCAGGAGGCGUUUGGUGACAAACGUCCCAGAUGAAUGGCCAUACACCGCGCUUCGGCGCGGGGACAGAACCCGGCUUACAGGCCAUCUGGUAUU
rnacentral:RNase_P_RNA from 1 species